UGGUCAAGCGACAAAGGGCAUGUGGGGGAUGUCUUGGCGUCAAGAGGCGAUGAAGGGCGUGGAAGGCUGCGAAAAGCCUGGGGAAGCUGUCAAACAAGCAUUUGAUCCCGGGAUUCCCGAAUUACCGUACGCUGAAUAUAUAGGCGUACGGGGCCAACGCGGUGAACUGAAACAUCUCAGUAACCGUAGGAAAGGAAAGCAAUAGCGACUUCCCGAGUAGCGGCGAGCGAAACGGAAUCAGCCCAAACCACUCCGGCUCCGGUCGGGUGGGGUUGUUGGGGCCACAACAACGUGUAGGUGAAAGUUAGACGAACGGCCUGGAACGGUCGGCCAGAGCGGGUGACAGCCCCGUAGUCGAAAACGGAAACCUCGCAAAGUGGUACCCCGAGUAGGUCCGGUCACGUGGAACCCGGACUGAAUCUAGGAGGCCCAUCUCCUAAGGCUAAGUACUCCUUGACGACCGAUAGUGGACCAGUAGCGUGAGCGAAAGAUGGAAAGCACCCCUUUUAGGGGAGAGAGACAGAACCUGAAACCACAUGCCUACAAGCGGUCGGAGCAAUCCCCUUCGGGGGGGAGUGACGGCGUGCCUUUUGCAUAAUGACCCGGCGAGUUACCGUCGUUGGCUGGUUAAGAUCCUCCGGAUCGGAGCCAAAGGGAAACCGAGUCUGAACAGGGCGAAAUAUAGUCAGCGGUGGUAGACGCGAAACCUGAGUGAUCUACCCAUGGGCAGGUUGAAGCGCGGGUAAGACUGCGUGGAGGACCGAACCCACCUAGGUUGAAAACUGGGGGGAUGACCUGUGGGGAGGAGUAAAAGUCUAAUCAAACCAGGAGAUAGCUCGUUCUCUCCGAAAUAGCUUUAGGGCUAGCCUCAAGCCACUACGUCUCGGGGGUAGAGACACUGAUUUCGGAUGGGGCCCUACCAGGGUACCCACCGUGACCAAACUCCGAAUACCGAGACGACUAUCUUGGGAGUCAGUCCACGAGGGAAAAGCUUCGUGGUCGAGAGGGAAACAACCCAGAUCGCCUGCUAAGGCCCCGAAGUCCUGCUCAGUCUCUAAGGAUGUUAGAGUACAGUGACAGCCGGGAUGUUGGCUUAGAAGCAGCCA
rnacentral:rRNA from 1 species